AAUCGCAUGCACAGAACCAGACAAAACUCCCUUCUUGUCGAAUUACAAAAAGCAGACACAGCAGCCCCGAAUUUCAGAGCUAAAAAGAUAAAUAGAAAUAGAUAUAAACACACCCCAGCAGCAAAAUUCAAUAGUGAGAUCAAAGCUAAACUUCCGCCUUCACAGAGUUCCCGUUAAGAUUUUUUUCCCCCUCUUUUGCACCAUAAUCUGAGCCUCAGAACCUUGGUUCCUAUUCAGCCACAAGAUCAAACAGCUCAUACACAUCUGCUGUGGUAGGGGUUUCCUUCUUUCUUUUUCUCUCUCUCUUUUUUUUAAAGGCAUUCAAUAAUUGGUGGGGUGAGGGGGAAGAAGAGGGGAUUGAACGUCAGCAUAAAGACAACAGCAAAACACACCACGACAAUCCUGCCGUGCAAGUGACGGCCGUGGGAGAGGAUUGCAUGGACACAUGAAUAUUUGUAGUUUCUCUGGCGAAGUCCACAAGCCCUGUUAUUUCAGGGGCACUUUUGGCCUCUGAGAUUCUCUUACUGAAGUCAACCCAAGCGAUCUAUACCAAAACCCAGGUUGCCAUGAAAAGGGGCUCUGAGUUCGGAAUGUUGACAUCCUCACAGUCCAGAGUGGAGAAAUCCAGCAGCUGAAGCCGGUCAGCUCUCCUCAUAAAAGGCUGGAGGGGGAGGCGGGCGCAUGCUCCCUCUCUGCCAGUUCCCAGGCAGCUGGGUCGCCUACACACGCCUUAAUCAAGUCAUCAUAUCUAGCCAGUGUCUCCUGGAUCCCGUCACUUCUGAAUGAGAAAAAAAUUUGCCGACAAAUUUCUAUCAGCAGGAAGUUGGUGCUCUCCUGCGAGGCUGGAUGAAAAGCGCCUGUGACGUCAGCAGCCUCCCGCCUUCCUGCCCCUGCUGGGGGCUUUGAGGCUUCGGUGUUCUCUGUUUAGGACCCCUAGCAGCCACCUGCCCCUCUGAGUGCCAUUCAGACCCCACCACUGCUAGGGCUGCGCGGGAUGAGCCCAAAACUUCCUAAUUAUGGACUUUGCUGACUUGUAAUGUAAAAAAAAAGCUAUUCACUGAAGCACGAAGGCUAUCCACACCGGCCAACCCUGGCUUCACCAUUGUCCCCACAGUAAGGACCGUUUGAUUGAGUGCCAGAACGGUUCGUUGUUACUUAUAAACGCCCUGGUUUGAAGGAAGGGCUGCCUGGCCUCUAUAUAUGCCCGACGGCUUUCACUUUGCAGCAAAAACUGUGAGACACAAACCAAAAGCCCUUCUCACCCUUCAUCAGAAAGAUUUUCUUUCCCCCCUCACAGAGAGUUUUGCUGGAGAAAAAGAGCUGAGAGGAUAAAGAUAUUGGUAGAGCUUAAUGCCAUAAAUCUGAUUAAUUUGCCUUGUGACACUCGUCACAAAAAAAGCUAAGGGUCAGAGUCUUGCCUGAGAACUGACCUUUCACCUGCAGCCAAGGCGGUCACAAUGGGGGCCCAGGGGCCUUUCACAGCUACCUGCUGCUUUGGACAAAGCAAUUGGACACAGUGUUCAACAUGAUGGAGAAUACCUCAGAGCCCAGUCCCUUGUUUUCUCUGUCUGUGGAACAGAAAGCGGCCAGGACAGCAUCUUCACUCUCCUGAUAGGACCAGGCAAGAGCCACUUCUAGGACACAAACACAGAAAGCACAAAUAAGAGCGCCUUCUCAGUGGUGCAUUCGCAAGCUUAUAUUGAAUAUCUUACAGAUUGUUCAAAGGUGAUCGAGUCUGGGUCCUUCACUAAGGAAGCACAGGGGUUCACGUUGCUCCCUAUACAGGAUGCACCCGGUGCCUAAUACACGACCGUCCUUCCUGUGUGCUCCCAGGGUGACUGAUAGACACUUUUGAUUACACAAAGGAGGCUAGGCAAGAAAGCGAUCUAGACUUCCUAGUCUGGGGAAAGCAGACUGGUUCUUGUGUGACUCUUGCGCUCACUUCCUGCUUCAUUUUUGUUUUGAGACAGGGUCUCACACCCAACGGCCUCGAACUCCUGAUCCUUCCGCCGCUGCCUUCUGAGACCUCGGUUUCGAGACGUGAGCCGCUGCGUGUGGCUUGCCUCUCUUAAGUUUCAUAACUGCACCAAAGGAGCAGUGAAGAGAUGGAUGGCUCCUCUACCGCCAUUCACAAUUAUUUAUUUAUUUAUUUACUUUUAGUCCCUCAGACUGAGCAGUCUUGUGAGGCAUGACUAGCUUCUCUGAGCCCCUCACCCCUAUUUCCCAGUUGUGGUGAUGCCCUCUGGGGACAUCUCAGACACUUCCAGAGAUUUCUGUGCCCCUGCACGCUGCCACCCGGCGCUGCCAGCCAAGCCUGCAGCUUUCUGGUUUUGCAUUUCAUCUCCGCCUUAGCAGGAUGUGUUAACAGAGAGAGCAUCUGGCAGAAUGGCACCACGAAAUGGGAACCAGACGCUCAGUCAAGCGCCACCAAGAGCUGUUUAUCCGUGGAAUUAACCUUUUGUUCGGCAUUUGCUUUGUGGUGGGCUUGCGCUGCGCUUUUAAAUUCGCACCCUGCCCUGGGUCUCCAAGAGGCACUCAGGUUCUGCUGAAUCAGCGCUUCACACGCCUGGCAGAGGCGGUUCUGAGCAACCGGCAGCCAGGAAAACUUGCAGCAUCCUCCUUUGGCAGUCACUUUUGGCUCCCCGUAGAUUUAUGACAGCAACAGAUGGGCCCAGGUGGACUCAAGUGAGAAUCUCAGACAGGCCCAGCUCCUCUGCCCACUGGAAUUGUGUCUAGACAAGAGGGAAGGCUCAUGCGCCUCCUGGAUUUGCUUUGAAGCAACUGGAAGUGUGAAAGGAAUUUACUGCCACAGGAAGGCAUGCGGCAUGCAGGCAAGACACCAGAAUUGCUCUGGAGAAAAGGACUGAAAGCAGGAAGGAAGGAGGAAGGAAGGAGGGAGGGAAGAAAAAAAAAAAAAAGAAAUCGCCCAACAGUGAAGGCAAAUGCUAAAUCAGACACCAUUCUUCCCCUCCAUUCUGUCUCCGAGAUGGCAAUGUGCACCGUUGGCCAGAUCAUUCACCAUGAUUCAGCUCUGAGGCAUGCAACACAACCCCAUCCAGUGUCAGUCGGAAGAGGAUCAGUUGGUGCUGAGCAUAGCCCUACUGGAGGUGAUGGUUUUGAUAGGUCCACCAUUUUGCUAGGUUUACACAGAAGCCUCAGACGGAAAACAUAGCAAGGUGCCACAGCUCUGGCUGAAGAAGUAGGGGGCCAUGAGCCCAACUUCCUGAUACGUUGCUUCCACCCUUCCCCCACAGGGCCCCUACCUAAGGAGACAACCCUGAGCGGAGGGAACUGGCUGAGUCCCUUAGAGUUAGUCUGAGCACUGACAGCAGGCACAAGAGACACUUUCCCUCACACCCUAGGUGAGCUGUAUUCCUGGCUAGGCUGAGGAGAAACCCAAGGAAGCAAACUUGGGGCUGCCGUCCUCCCUGUGGCAGAGACACAUUCCCAGGCUGUAGUGGCUGCACGUGACCAAAGCUUCUUGGAACUGCCCCUGGCCCCAGAUCCAGAUAACCAGACUUCGUCUGGGUGCCAUGUGUCUGGCGUCUUAGAGAUUUCGUUUUACAUUGAAAAUAUAAACAUCACAGUAAGGGGAAAGCUGAGUUCAUUUACCCAUCUUAUGCUUUUUAAAAAGGUUUACUUGUGACUUACAGAUUUUUUUUUUUUUAGAAAAAUAGAAAAAUGCAAGAAAAACAAACUAAAUAAUGUACUGUGUGUCUUCCACGAGGUUUAUGUGUGAUGCCGGUGUUAGGCCCAUCUUCAACACAAUAAACUUGACAUUUGGGAAAGUACAUAUUAGUAGAGAGAUUGGUGAAAAGCUAAGAUAUAACUUGAGUCGAUGAAAAAAUGUGUGCAAAACAUUGUUUGGAAGAUCAGCCCAGCAACUUAAUACCAAAUGUUGGCAUCUGGAGAAAUCCUGACUUGAUGGUUUGGUAGGGAAUAUAAAGAAAACCUAAAGAGCACUUCGAGAAAAAAAAAAAAUUGAAGAAAAGAUUUGUUGCAGCGGCCCAGGGAAGCAGUCAGUCCUAGAAUUCCAAAGAGCCAGCAUUUAUCACCAAUGAAGUUGGGUAAUGUAAAGGGCAGCCUGGGCCUGGAAACAUUCCGGAAGGGUGUCUGAGGGUGAGGAGAGGGAAGGCUCUUCAGUGAACUCCGAGAAGCAGCCAGCAGUGAGGGGAAGAAGGCCAGAGAGUGCUGCCAGCAGCUGUGAUGUGGCUGUACGGCCCAGAGGAAACGGCUCUCCCAACCUGCCAUUAAAGCAGCUGUGGUCAGGCUGACGGUGACAGCUCGGUGCUGGCAUGGUGCUCAAGAUGCUGGCUGGCCCCAGCCAUUAGGAUGAGUGGGAAUAGACAGUUCUCCCAAGCCCUGGACAAGGAUACACCCUGCAAACUCACUGUAGUGGCUUAACUGUUCUGUGCCCACGUGUUGUCUUUGCUGCUCAGACUGCUGAAGCUGUGCCUUCCUUUCUAUGGCUAAAAAUCUGCUUGCAUUCCCCACCCUCCUACUUUAAGUGAAAUAUGCAGAUCUCAAAUGCUUAUUCAAGUUUGACAAAUAAAUAUGCCCAUGUGACUCAUCCCCCAGUCAGAAACA